AUCACUAAGUUUUUUCUAGACUCCCGAGUACCCAUUUCCCGUAUAUCCAUUUCCCUCAUUUUCUUCUCUUUCUCUUCCUAGUAUACUCUCCCGUGUCUCAUUUUCUUCUCUAUUUCUCUUCCUGGUAUACCCAUUUCCAGUGUCUCAUUUCCCAUUUCCCGUGUCUCAUUUCCCGGACCUAUCUCUCUCGGUCUCUCACUCCCCUUCACGAAAGACAAUCUACACCACAUUCGAAGGCGAUAUAGGAGGCAUGAUCUUCCCUGGAGGCUUUGGCCAAAUCAGACUCGUGAGGUCGGUGAACUAGGUGGAAAGUGCAGGUAAGCGCUGUGGAGAUAGAAAGGCUAAUGGAUGGAUCCUUCCACUGUCUUUGAACAUUGAAAUCAGGGACGUGACUACAACCACUGGCUCAUCGUUAUGGAUUUCCCCAAGGACCACAAACCUUCCCGUGAAGAAAUGGUUCGUACCUAUGAGGAAACCUGUGCCAGGGGCUUAAACAUCAGGGGCAACUAUUGGUUUGAGAUACUUGUGAUGUGGUUUUGAAUUGUCUGUGUCUAGUACUAAGGCUAUGAAGGCCAGAGUGUACUGGUGCCAUUGCACAGAAUCAUUUGAAUCCUUUGCUAUUGCCAAGUCCUUAUUUUGCUGUGUUCUUUUUCCCGCCUAA